UAGCUUAACCUUCGGGAGGGCGCUUACCACUUUGUGAUUCAUGACUGGGGUGAAGUCGUAACAAGGUAACCGUAGGGGAACCUGCGGUUGGAUCACCUCCUUACCUAAAGA
rnacentral:rRNA from 1 species